CCUACGGGAGGCAGCAGUAGGGAAUCUUCGGCAAUGGACGGAAGUCUGACCGAGCAACGCCGCGUGAGUGAAGAAGGUUUUCGGAUCGUAAAGCUCUGUUGUAAGAGAAGAACGAGUGUGAGAGUGGAAAGUUCACACUGUGACGGUAUCUUACCAGAAAGGGACGGCUAACUACGUGCCAGCAGCCGCGGUAAUACGUAGGUCCCGAGCGUUGUCCGGAUUUAUUGGGCGUAAAGCGAGCGCAGGCGGUUAGAUAAGUCUGAAGUUAAAGGCUGUGGCUUAACCAUAGUAUGCUUUGGAAACUGUUUAACUUGAGUGCAGAAGGGGAGAGUGGAAUUCCAUGUGUAGCGGUGAAAUGCGUAGAUAUAUGGAGGAACACCGGUGGCGAAAGCGGCUCUCUGGUCUGUAACUGACGCUGAGGCUCGAAAGCGUGGGGAGCAAACAGGAUUAGAUACCCUGGUAGUCCACGCCGUAAACGAUGAGUGCUAGGUGUUAGGCCCUUUCCGGGGCUUAGUGCCGCAGCUAACGCAUUAAGCACUCCGCCUGGGGAGUACGACCGCAAGGUUGAAACUCAAAGGAAUUGACGG
rnacentral:rRNA from 1 species